UGGGUAUCAGAGAGGAACUAGGAGAAUGUGAGAAGUUGCAUGAGGACAUGGUGACUUUCUGUUAAGGUCAAGGUCAUAUGUACUGUGUGUGUCGUCUGUCCUCAGGUCUCCCAGGAGAGAAGGGGGAGAGGGGGAGUCAAGGUGUGGGGACACAGGGCCCCAGAGGUCCCCCAGGACCACCAGGUCUUCUAGGAGAGGGGCGUACAGGCAGCCAAGGCCCCGCCGGUAGACCAGGCAGCCAGGGUACCCCAGGGCGACCAGGCACCCCUGGAUCCAUGGGCCCUGCUGGUGCUGCUGGCUACUGCGACCAGAACUCCUGUUUGGGCUACAACGUUGGAGGAGGACAGGAACAGGAAUAUGAGAAUGACUACUGAGCAACAUUCUCUUAGUUCCAGACACCCUCUCCUCUCCUACCUCCCUCCCUCUCCUCUCCCAUCAUAAAGAGACCAUCAGAUACCCUCUCCUACCUUCCUCCCUCCCCUCCUCCCUUCUGCCGCACAAAAAUAGACCAUCAGACACACACUCCUCCCUCCCCUCCUCCCUUCCUACCUCCCUCGCUUCCUUCUGCCGCACAAAAAUAGACCAUCAGACACUGUCUCCUCCCUCCC
ensembl:lncRNA